UUUCAGAGUUGUAUUAAAUGGCUCCUCCAGCACCUCCUCUCCUCAUCCUCCAAACCCUCUCAUCUGACCCUCAUCAGCCUCUCAAGUGACAAGGCCACUCUCAGCACACACUGACAACAUGCUGGGGACCCUCUGCACUCUCAUCACCGCUCUAACAUGUGUGAGUGGUGUGAUGGUGGUGACACAGAAGCCUCCUGUUGUGACCGUGAGGAAAGGAGAGACAGUCACCAUGGACUGUAACCUGGGGACUGUUACUGGCAGCGCUGCUCGCUGGUAUAAACAGAUUCCAGGAGGAGUUCCUCAGAAGUUUCAGCUCCACUCCCCUCAGAGAGCGUCAGGAGGUUUUUGUACAGCCAUGUGCACAAACUGAAUCACUGUGGUAUUCGGACAAGGGACCAAGCUGAUUGUGACUGGUAAGAACUUUUUAACUCUUAUAUAUUUUGCCUCCGACCAAAAUG